rnacentral:rRNA from 1 species
GACGAACGCUGGCGGCGUGCUUAACACAUGCAAGUCGAACGGAGUGGCGAACGGGUGAGUAACACGUGGGUGACCUGCCCUGCACUUCGGGAUAAGCCUGGGAAACUGGGUCUAAUACCGGAGAGUGAGGGAUGGGCCCGCGGCCUAUCAGCUUGUUGGUGGGGUAAUGGCCUACCAAUGCGGCGCCGGGUAGCCGGCCUGUGAGGGUGGACGGCCACAUUGGGACUGAGACACGGCCCAGACUCAUACGGGUGGCAGGAGUGUGGAAUAUUGCACAAUGGGCGGAAGCCUGAUGCAGCGACGCCGCGUGGGUGAUGACGGCCUUCGGGUUGUAAACUCCUUUCACCAUCGACGCGGUAGAUGGAGAAUAAGCACCGGCUAACUACGUGCCAGCAGCCGCGUAAUAC